GAAGCUGACCAGACAGUCGCCGCUUCGUCGUCGUCCUCCUUCGGGGGGAGACGGGCGGAGGGGAGGAAAGUCCGGGCUCCAUAGGGCAAGGUGCCAGGUAACGCCUGGGGGGUGUCACAGCCCACGACCAGUGCAACAGAGAGAAAACCGCCGAUGGCCCGCGCAAGCGGGAUCAGGUAAGGGUGAAAGGGUGCGGUAAGAGCGCACCGCGCGGCUGGUAACAGUCCGCGGCACGGUAAACUCCACCCGGAGCAAGGCCAAAUAGGGGUUCAUAAGGUACGGCCCGUACUGAACCCGGGUAGGCUGCUUGAGCCAGUGAGCGAUUGCUGGCCUAGAUGAAUGACUGUCCACGACAGAACCCGGCUUAUCGGUCAGUUUCACCU
rnacentral:RNase_P_RNA from 1 species